rnacentral:ncRNA from 2 species
AUCAGGCAGACAGGAGAGAUCGCCCGGACAGCAGUCCAGCGGCGGCGCCGAAGGGGAAUCGCCCCGAAAACUCUCAGGCAAAAGGACUGUCUGCCCAGG